UGGGGAAUAUUGCACAAUGGGGGAAACCCUGAUGCAGCCAUGCCGCGUGUGUGAAGAAGGCCUUCGGGUUGUAAAGCACUUUCAGCGAGGAGGAAAGGUUGGUAGCUAAUAACUGCCAACUGUGACGUUACUCGCAGAAGAAGCACCGGCUAACUCCGUGCCAGCAGCCGCGGUAAUACGGAGGGUGCAAGCGUUAAUCGGAAUUACUGGGCGUAAAGCGCACGCAGGCGGUUGGAUAAGUUAGAUGUGAAAGCCCCGGGCUCAACCUGGGAAUUGCAUUUAAAACUGUCCAGCUAGAGUCUUGUAGAGGGGGGUAGAAUUCCAGGUGUAGCGGUGAAAUGCGUAGAGAUCUGGAGGAAUACCGGUGGCGAAGGCGGCCCCCUGGACAAAGACUGACGCUCAGGUGCGAAAGCGUGGGGAGCAAACA
rnacentral:rRNA from 1 species